GACGAACGCUGGCGGCGUGCUUAACACAUGCAAGUCGAACGGAAAGGCCCUGCUUUUGUGGGGUGCUCGAGUGGCGAACGGGUGAGUAACACGUGAGUAACCUGCCCUUGACUUUGGGAUAACUUCAGGAAACUGGGGCUAAUACCGGAUAGGAGCUCCUGCUGCAUGGUGGGGGUUGGAAAGUUUCGGCGGUUGGAGAUGGACUCGCGGCUUAUCAGCUUGUUGGUGGGGUAGUGGCUUACCAAGGCUUUGACGGGUGGCCGGCCUGAGAGGGUGACCGGCCACAUUGGGACUGAGAUACGGAGCAGACUCCUACGGGAGGCAGCAGUGGGGAAUAUUGCACAAUGGGCGGAAGCCUGAGGCAGCAACGCCGCGUGCGGGAUGACGGCCUUCGGGUUGUAAACCGCUUUCGCCUGUGACGAAGCGUGAGUGACGGUAAUGGGUAAAGAAGCACCGGCUAACUACGUG
rnacentral:rRNA from 1 species